rnacentral:rRNA from 1 species
GAUGAACGCUGGCGGCGUGCCUAAUACAUGCAAGUCGAGCGAACAGACGAGGAGCUUGCUCCUCUGACGUUAGCGGCGGACGGGUGAGUAACACGUGGAUAACCUACCUAUAAGACUGGGAUAACUUCGGGAAACCGGAGCUAAUACCGGAUAAUAUAUUGAACCGCAUGGUUCAAUAGUGAAAGACGGUUUUGCUGUCACUUAUAGAUGGAUCCGCGCCGCAUUAGCUAGUUGGUAAGGUAACGGCUUACCAAGGCAACGAUGCGUAGCCGACCUGAGAGGGUGAUCGGCCACACGGGAACUGAGACACGGUCCAGACUCCUACGGGAGGCAGCAGUAGGGAAUCUUCCGCAAUGGACGAAAGCCUGACGGAGCAACGCCGCGUGAGUGAUGAAGGUCUUCGGAUCGUAAAACUCUGUUAUUAGGGAAGAACAAAUGUGUAAGUAAAUAUGCACGUCUUGACGGUACCUAAUCAGAAAGCCACGGCUAACUACGUG